UGGGGAAUAUUGCACAAUGGGCGCAAGCCUGAUGCAGCGACGCCGCGUGAGGGAUGACGGCCUUCGGGUUGUAAACCUCUUUCAAUAGGGACGAAGCGCAAGUGACGGUACCUAUAGAAGAAGGACCGGCCAACUACGUGCCAGCAGCCGCGGUAAUACGUAGGGUCCGAGCGUUGUCCGGAAUUACUGGGCGUAAAGAGCUCGUAGGUGGUUUGUCGCGUUGUUCGUGAAAACUCACAGCUUAACUGUGGGCGUGCGGGCGAUACGGGCAGACUAGAGUACUGCAGGGGAGACUGGAAUUCCUGGUGUAGCGGUGGAAUGCGCAGAUAUCAGGAGGAACACCGGUGGCGAAGGCGGGUCUCUGGGCAGUAACUGACGCUGAGGAGCGAAAGCGUGGGGAGCGAACAGGAUUAGAUACCCUGGUAGUCCACGCCGUAAACGGUGGGUACUAGGUGUGGGUUUCCUUCCUUGGGAUCCGUGCCGUAGCUAACGCAUUAAGUACCCCGCCUGGGGAGUACGGCCGCAAGGCUAAAACUCAAAGGAAUUGACGGGGUCAUAGC
rnacentral:rRNA from 1 species